GAUGAACGCUGGCGGCGUGCCUAAUACAUGCAAGUCGAGCGAACAGACGAGGAGCUUGCUCCUCUGACGUUAGCGGCGGACGGGUGAGUAACACGUGGAUAACCUACCUAUAAGACUGGGAUAACUUCGGGAAACCGGAGCUAAUACCGGAUAAUAUAUUGAACCGCAUGGUUCAAUAGUGAAAGACGGUUUUGCUGUCACUUAUAGAUGGAUCCGCGCCGCAUUAGCUAGUUGGUAAGGUAACGGCUUACCAAGGCAACGAUGCGUAGCCGACCUGAGAGGGUGAUCGGCCACACUGGAACUGAGACACGGUCCAGACUCCUACGGGAGGCAGCAGUAGGGAAUCUUCCGCAAUGGGCGAAAGCUUGACGGAGCAACGCCGCGUGAGUGAUGAAGGUCUUCGGAGCGUAAAACUCUGUUAUUAGGGAAGAACAAAUGUGUAAGUAACUAUGCACGUCUUGACGGUACCUAAUCAGAAAGCCACGGCUAACUACGUG
rnacentral:rRNA from 1 species